rnacentral:lncRNA from 1 species
CCAACAUAGGAUCUAUGAGAUCUUAGUUACUCUUGCGUAACUAGACCCUACAUAGAUCACGUAUAUCAAUAUAACCAAUGACAUGGAUCAAGUAUAGGUGUGUAGCACGGAAAUAACAUAAAGUGUGGUCUGAACUAGAAUGUCUAUUUCCAACUGGUUCUCUUUAUUGAGAUCAAUCAUAAACCUUAAGAGUACAUAAAACUUUAAAACUGAAUAUCUGCAGAUAUAACCN